ACAGAGGUCCCGAGCGUUGUUCGGAUUCACUGGGCGUAAAGGGUGCGUAGGUGGUGAGGUAAGUCGGAUGUGAAAUCUCCGGGCUCAACCCGGAAAUGGCAUUGGAAACUACCUUGCUGGAGGAUUUGAGGGGGGAUUGGAAUACUUGGUGUAGCAGUGAAAUGCGUAGAUAUUGGGAGGAACACCGGUGGCGAAGGCGGCCCCCUGGACCGGUACUGACGCUGAUGCGCGAAAGCGUGGGUAGCAAACGGGA
rnacentral:rRNA from 1 species